rnacentral:rRNA from 1 species
UACGUAGGGGGCAAGCGUUGUCCGGAUUUAUUGGGCGUAAAGAGCGUGUAGGCGGCUUGGUAGGUCCGCUGUGAAAACUCGAGGCUCAACCUCGAGAUGUCGGCGGAAACCACUUGGCUAGAGUCCGGAAGAGGAGAGUGGAAUUCCUGGUGUAGCGGUGAAAUGCGCAGAUAUCAGGAAGAACACCUAUGGCGAAGGCAGCUCUCUGGGACGGUACUGACGUGAGACGCGAAAGCGUGGGGAGCGAACAGG